AUUGAACGCUGGCGGCAUGCCUUACACAUGCAAGUCGAGAGGAUGAGAAGAGCUUGCUCUUCGAUUCAGCGGCGGACGGGUGAGUAAUGCCUAGGAAUCUGCCUGGUAGUGGGGGACAACGUUUCGAAAGGAACGCUAAUACCGCAUACGUCCUACGGGAGAAAGCAGGGGACCUUCGGGUCUUGCGCUAUCAGAUGAGCCUAGGUCGGAUUAGCUAGUUGGUGAGGUAAUGGCUCACCAAGGCGACGAUCCGUAACUGGUCUGAGAGGAUGAUCAGUCACACUGGAACUGAGACACGGUCCAGACUCCUACGGGAGGCAGCAGUGGGGAAUAUUGGACAAUGGGCGAAAGCCUGAUCCAGCCAUGCCGCGUGUGUGAAGAAGGUCUUCGGAUUGUAAAGCACUUUAAGUUGGGAGGAAGGGCAGUAAGUUAAUACCUUGCUGUUUUGACGUUACCGACAGAAUAAGCACCGGCUAACUCUGUGCCAGCCGCCGCGGUAAUAC
rnacentral:rRNA from 1 species